rnacentral:rRNA from 1 species
UGGGGAAUUUUGGACAAUGGGCGCAAGCCUGAUCCAGCCAUGCCGCGUGCGGGAAGAAGGCCUUCGGGUUGUAAACCGCUUUUGUCAGGGAAGAAAUCUUCUGAGUUAAUACCUCGGGAGGAUGACGGUACCUGAAGAAUAAGCACCGGCUAACUACGUGCCAGCAGCCGCGGUAAUACGUAGGGUGCAAGCGUUAAUCGGAAUUACUGGGCGUAAAGCGUGCGCAGGCGGUUUUGUAAGACAGAGGUGAAAUCCCCGGCUCAACCUGGGAACUGCCUUUGUGACUGCAAGGCUUGAGUGCGGCAGAGGGGGGAUGGAAUUCCGCGUGUAGCAGUGAAAUGCGUAGAUAUGCGGAGGAACACCGAUGGCGAAGGCAAUCCCCGUGGGCCUGCACUGACGCUCAUGCACGAAAGCGUGGGGAGCAAACAGGAUUAGAUAGCCCUGGUAGUCCACGCCCUAAACGAUGUCAACUGGUU